GGGAAAGGCUGUUGAUGAAGUCUACCUAGGCUUCAGCAAAGCCUUUGACACUGACUCCCACAGUAUUCUCCUGCAGAAGCUGGCAGCCCAUGGCUUGGACAGAUACACUCUUGGCUGGGUAAGGAACUGGCUGGAGGGUUGGGUCCAGAGAGUGGUGAAUGGAGUUAAAUCCAGCUGGUGACCAGUCACGAGUGGCGUUCCCCAGGGGUGGGUGCUGGGGCCUGUCCUUUUUCAUAUCUUUACUGAUGACCUGGAUGAGGGCAUUGAGUGCACCCUCAGUAAGUUUGCAGAUGACACCAAGCUGGCUGGAAGUGUAAAUCUGCCUGAGGGUCGUGAGGCCCUACAGAGGGAUCUGGACAGGCUGGAUAGCUGGGCUGAAGCCAAUGGGAUGGGAUUCAACAAGACCAAAUGCCGGGUCCUGCACUUUGGCCGCAAUAACCCCAGGCAAUGCUACGGGCGUUGGGGCAGAGUGGCUGGAAGACUGUAUAGAGGAAAUGGAACUGGGGGCGUUGACUGAUGCUAGACUGAACAUGAGCCAGCAGUGUGCCCACGUGGCCAAGAAGGCCAAUAGCAUCCUGGCUUGCAUUAGAAAUAGUGUGGCCAGCAGGAGCAGGGAAGUAACUGUCCGCCUGUACUCAGCACUGGUGAGGCCGCACCUUGAGUACUGUGCCCAGUUUUGGGCCCCUCACUGCAAGAAAGACAUCGAGACCCUGGAGCGUGUUCAAAGAAGGGCAACAAAGCUGGUGAGGGGUCUGGAGCACAGGCCCUGUGAGGAGCGGCUGAAGGAGCUGGGAUUGUCCUGUCUGGAGAAGAGGAGGCUCAGGGGAUACCUUAUUGCUCUCUGUAAUUACCUGAAGGGAGACUGUAGUGAGCUGGGGGUCGGCGUCUUCUCUCGUGAAACUAGUGAUAGGACUAGAGGGAAUGGCUUCAAGCUGUGCCAGAGGAAGUUCAAGCUGGAGGUUCAGAAAUACUACUUUUCUGAAAGGGUGGUCAGGCACUGGAAUGGGCUGUCCAGGGAGGUGGUGGAG
ensembl:lncRNA